rnacentral:rRNA from 1 species
UGGGGAAUUUUGGACAAUGGGGGAAACCCUGAUCCAGCCAUGCCGCGUGUGUGAAGAAGGCCUUCGGGUUGUAAAGCACUUUCGGACGGAACGAAAUCGCACGGGUGAAUAUCCCGUGUGGAUGACGGUACCGUAAGAAGAAGCACCGGCUAACUACGUGCCAGCAGCCGCGGUAAUACGUAGGGUGCGAGCGUUAAUCGGAAUUACUGGGCGUAAAGUGUGCGCAGGCGGCUUCGCAAGUCGAGUGUGAAAUCCCCGGGCUUAACUUGGGAACGGCGCUCGAAACUACGGAGCUAGAGUAUGGCAGAGGGAGGUGGAAUUCCACGUGUAGCGGUGAAAUGCGUAGAGAUGUGGAGGAACACCAAUGGCGAAGGCAGCCUCCUGGGCCAAUACUGACGCUCAUGCACGAAAGCGUGGGGAGCAAACAGGAUUAGAUACCCUUGUAGUCCCUGAGCGGGCUGGCAAGGCGCAU